GUGCUCGCUUUCGCAGCACAUAUACAAAAAUUGGAAUAAUACAGAGGAGAUUAGCAUGGCCCCUGCGCAAGGAUGACAUGGAAAUUCCUGAAGCGUUCCAUUUUUUU